rnacentral:rRNA from 1 species
AGUCUUUUAAAUGGUGACUUGUAUGAAUGAUUGGAUGAAAUAUAUACUGUCUCUUUAUKGUAAAUAGAAUUUAAUAUUUUAAUUAAAAAGUUAAAAUAUUAUUAAAAGACGAGAAGACCCCAUAGAGUUUUAUAUAAUUUUAUAAUUUAUAAUUAUUAUAAAUAUUUAAUAUAAAUUAUUUUAAUAUAUUUUAUUGGGGUGAUAAAAAAAUAAAUUUAACUUUUUUUUAUAUUUUACAUAAAUAAGUGAUUAAUUGAUCCAAAAUUUUUGAUUAUAAGAAAAAAUUACCUUGGGGAUAACAGCGUAAUUUUUUUUUUUAGUUCAAAUAAAAAAAAAAGUUNGCGACCUCGAUUUUGGAUUAAGAUAAAAUUUAAAUGC